rnacentral:misc_RNA from 1 species
GAUUGAGCACAUUUAGAGUCGCCGGUAACGUCCCCGAGAUACCACACCUCAAACACCGACGAGCAGAAAAUAGAGCUUCCAACCACAAAUAACUUGACCCGUAGCAACCAUGGCCUAUGCUGAGCCAAACACAACACAAAAACAACAGAGCAGGUAACCAUAAAACACGCUUACUAUAAACCCAUAACUGCAGAAAACAAACACAGCAAAAGAAGUAUAUACAGCGCCACCCGGUGAGGGGAGGGUGGAAAUCCACGAUAUCGGACAGGGUAGGAGCCCCCC